AACGAACGCUGGCGGCAGGCUUAACACAUGCAAGUCGAACGCAUCCUUCGGGGUGAGUGGCAGACGGGUGAGUAACGCGUGGGAACGUGCCCUUCAGUUCGGGAUAACGCAGGGAAACUUGGGCUAAUACCGGAUACGUGCGAGAGCAGAAAGAUUUAUCGCUGAAGGAUCGGCCCGCGUCUGAUUAGCUAGUUCGUGGGGUAAUGGCCCACCAAGGCGACGAUCAGUAGCUGGUCUGAGAGGAUGAUCAGCCACAUUGGGACCGAGACACGGCCCAAACUCCUACGGGAGGCAGCAGUGGGGAAUAUUGGACAAUGGGCGCAAGCCUGAUCCAGCCAUGCCGCGUGAGUGAUGAAGGCCUUAGGGUUGUAAAGCUCUUUCGUCCGGGACGAUAAUGACGGUACCGGAAGAAGAAGCCCCGGCUAACUUCGUGCCAGCCGCCGCCGUAA
rnacentral:rRNA from 1 species